UACGUAGGGGGCUAGCGUUGUCCGGAUUUAUUGGGCGUAAAGAGCGUGUAGGCGGCCAGGUAGGUCCGGUGUGAAACUCGAGGCUUAACCUCGAGAUGUCAUCGGAAACCAUCUGGCUAGAGUCCGGAAGAGGAAAGUGGAAUUCCUGGUGUAGCGGUGAAUGCGCAGAUAUCAGGAAGAACACCAGUGGCGAAAGGCGGUCU
rnacentral:rRNA from 1 species